UACGUAGGUGGCGAGCGUUAUCCGGAUUUACUGGGCGUAAAGGAUGCGUAGGUGGAAUUUUAAGUGGGAUGUGAAAUACCCGGGCUCAACCUGGGAACUGCAUUCCAAACUGGAAUUCUAGAGUGCAGGAGAGGAAAGCGGAAUUCCUAGUGUAGCGGUGAAAUGCGUAGAGAUUAGGAAGAACACCAGUGGCGAAGGCGGCUUUCUGGACUGUAACUGACACUGAGGCAUGAAAGCGUGGGGAGCAAACAGGAUUAGAUACCCUGGUAGUCCACGCCGUAAACGAUGGGUACUAGGUGUAGGGGUUUCGAUACCUCUGUGCCGCCGUAAACACAAUAAGUACCCCGCCUGGGGAGUACGGUCGCAAGAUUAAA
rnacentral:rRNA from 1 species